rnacentral:rRNA from 1 species
UACGUAGGUGGCAAGCGUUGUCCGGAUUUACUGGGUGUAAAGGGCGUGUAGCCGGGCUGACAAGUCAGAUGUGAAAUCCGGGGGCUCAACCCCCGAGCUGCAUUUGAAACUGUUGGUCUUGAGUAUCGGAGAGGCAGGCGGAAUUCCUAGUGUAGCGGUGAAAUGCGUAGAUAUUAGGAGGAACACCAGUGGCGAAGGCGGCCUGCUGGACGACAACUGACGGUGAGGCGCGAAAGCGUGGGGAGCAAACAGG